UUUGCCUGACAUUUUCUUUUUGUAUCAUUUUGGUCCACAUCAAAGUGCUGCGUUUUGAGGGAAGGGAAUAUUUCCCGUUUGGCCCUCAUGUUAUUCGCACGUUAUGCUCUGGCCCUUCAUUUUGUUUUGUUUUUGUUUUUUUUCCCUUUUAAUUUUUUUUGAGUUCAAUUUAAUCCCUACUAAUUUAAUGCGCUUGAUUUUCUUUAAAUUUUAUUUAAGCAUUUAUUAUUCCUUUAUUUUUAAUGUAUUUAAUUUUAAAAUUAAUAUUAUUUUAAUGAUCAAGCUCAAUAUUAUUUUAAAUUUAUUGUUAACAUUGUUUAAAUUUAUUGUA
rnacentral:lncRNA from 1 species